UACGGAGGGUGCAAGCGUUGUCCGGAUUUAUUGGGUUUAAAGGGUGCGUAGGUGGCUUGUUAAGUCCGGGGUGAAAGCCCACAGCUCAACUGUGGAACUGCCCUGGAUACUGGCGAGCUUGAGUCCAGACGAGGUUGGCGGAAUGGAAGAUGUAGCGGUGAAAUGCAUAGAUAUCUUCCAGAACCCCAAUUGCGAAGGCAGCUGACUAGGCUGGUACUGACGCUGAGGCAUGAAAGCGUGGGGAGCGAACAGG
rnacentral:rRNA from 1 species